rnacentral:rRNA from 1 species
UGGGGAAUAUUGCACAAUGGGGGAAACCCUGAUGCAGCGACGCCGCGUGGAGGAAGAAGGUCUUCGGAUUGUAAACUCCUGUUGUUGAGGAAGAUAAUGACGGUACUCAACAAGGAAGUGACGGCUAACUACGUGCCAGCAGCCGCGGUAAAACGUAGGUCACAAGCGUUGUCCGGAAUUACUGGGUGUAAAGGGAGCGCAGGCGGGAAGACAAGUUGGAAGUGAAAUCCAUGGGCUCAACCCAUGAACUGCUUUCAAAACUGUUUUUCUUGAGUAGUGCAGAGGUAGAUGGAAUUCCCGGUGUAGCGGUGGAAUGCGUAGAUAUCGGGAGGAACACCAGUGGCGAAGGCGGCCUACUGGGCACCAACUGACGCUGAGGCUCGAAAGUGUGGGUAGCAAACAGGAUUAGAUACCCUGGUAGUCCACACCGUAAACGAUGAUUACUAGGUGUUGGAGGAUUGACCCCUUCAGUGCCGCAGUUAACACAAUAAGUAAUCCACCUGGGGAGUACGACCGCAAGGUUGAAACUCAAAGGAAUUGACGGGGGCCCGCACAAGCAGUGGAGUAUGUGGUUUAAUUCGACGCAACGCGAAGAACCUUACCAAGUCUUGACAUCCCUUGACAGACAUAGAAAUAUGUAAUCUCUUCGGAGCAAGGAGACAGGUGGUGCAUGGUUGUCGUCAGCUCGUGUCGUGAGAUGUUGGGUUAAGUCCCGCAACGAGCGCAACCCUUAUGGUCAGUUACUACGCAAGAGGACUCUGGCCAGACUGCCGUUGACAAAACGGAGGAAGGUGGGGAUGACGUCAAAUCAUCAUGCCCUUUAUGACUUGGGCUACACACGUACUACAAUGGCGUUAAACAAAGAGAAGCAAGACCGCGAGGUGGAGCAAAACUCAGAAACAACGUCCCAGUUCGGACUGCAGGCUGCAACUCGCCUGCACGAAGUCGGAAUUGCUAGUAAUCGUGGAUCAGCAUGCCACGGUGAAUACGUUCCC